rnacentral:lncRNA from 1 species
AGGGGAUCAAUAUGCAACAGCCUCUCAAGAAGCUAUGUCCUUCAUCUUAUUUCUCAUCAGCAGAUGGGAAAUGAAAAUCUGAUCUGUCAUCAGCUGUACUUCUGCUCAGUGGGCUCGAUGCUGCAAACACUAUUAUUUGGCACUACAUCUCCCUAUUCAUGGACUAGGAAACUUAGAUUCCUAACUGAGGAUUGUGUGCACUGCUCUCAUUUAACUAACUAAAAGGCGCUACUGUACUGUGCGGCACCACUUCUAAGUUGUUCCUGAUUCCAAGUCUGUGUUCCUAAAUCCUAUUAAUGUCAUUACUUGAAUCACUUUUGAAAAGGCAACUUUGUCCCCAGAAACACUGAGGCACUUUUGAAAAUUUCAUCUUUGGAUUGUAGAUCUCAUGAAGUCAAAUGUUCUUAAAAAGAAAAGGAAGAAGGGGAACACUGAACAUUUUGAAAAA